rnacentral:rRNA from 1 species
CAAAGAUGGCUUCGGCUAUCACUCCAGGAUGGGCCCGCGGUGCAUUAGCUAGUUGGUAAGGUAACGGCUUACCAAGGCGAUGAUGCAUAGCCGAGUUGAGAGACUGAUCGGCCACAAUGGAACUGAGACACGGUCCAUACUCCUACGGGAGGCAGCAGUAGGGAAUCUUCCACAAUGGGCGCAAGCCUGAUGGAGCAACACCGCGUGAGUGAAGAAGGGCUUCGGCUCGUAAAACUCUGUUGUUGAAGAAGAACGUGCGUGAGAGUAACUGUUCAUGCAGUGACGGUAUUCAACCAGAAAGUCACGGCUAACUACGUG